rnacentral:rRNA from 1 species
UGUAAGCGUAUACCAAAGUUGUUGCAGUUAAAACGCUCGUAGUCGGAAUUUGGCAGUUCCGGAAGUGUGCACGUCGUGUGCGCACUUUGCGGGGACUGCUUUUGUGGUCUUGCGUAGGAUGAGGCACUUUCAUUAGUGAACGUCCUCACGCAACCACUCUUUACUGCGAGAAAAUCAGAGUGCUCAAAGCAGGCAUUUGCCGUGAAUGUAUUAGCAUGGAAUAAUAGAACAGGACUCGGUUCUAUCUUGUUGGUUUGUUGGGACUGAGUAAUGAUUAAGAGGGACAGUUGGGGGCAUUUGUAUUCCGGCGCUAGAGGUGAAAUUCUCAGAUUGCCGGAAGACAAACUGCUGCGAAAGCGUCUGCCAAGGAUGUUUUCAUUGA